CCAAACUACAUUUUCUUCUGACCUACUGCCUCAUAUACACAACUGUCAUUUUUACGUCUUCACUUGGAUAUGCUAUAUCCAUCUCAAGCCAAGUGUGUCCAAAAUGGAGAUUAACUUUUUUCCCCACCAAUUUUUCCCUGCAGUGUUCUCCACCUCCAUAAAGAGCAAUACCAUCUACCCAGUGGAUCAAGAGACAGUGAAUCAAGAGACACCAAGUUCAGCCAUUAUGUGGAAAUUAUGUGCCAGCAACUGAUUUGGAAAGUCUGGACAAGUCCAGAGAAUGUCAGCACAUCAACUAGAAGGAAACUUGCCUGAGAUAGCCCGAGGGUAAGUACAAAAUAUAUUCAAGUAAAAGAUCAGCAGCUGGUCAAAUUACAGCAGCCAUUUUUCAGGUCUAAACUGGGGUUAGAAGCCAGGAACAGAAUUGAAGGCAAAGGAACAGGAACUAACACCUUUUUUUUUUUUUUUUCCAGCAGGAUGGGUCACACAAAGCUGCCCUGUAGGGACCAAGGGGGUGGCAUCUCAGCAAUAGGGCCAGGUAAACAAAGUUCACAGCUCUCUUUGAGGCUUUUUAGUUAAAACAGAUGGCUCUGUAUCUUGACAAAUGCUUUCCUUCUUGUAUGCUCAGACAUUUUAUAUAGUAAAUGAAAGAGAACUAUAGACAGAUUCGGUGGUAAAAUAUCAUGGCAGGAGCUGUGUUUAAGGAAGAUUAUUCAGUUAGAAUACACAGAGAAAAGCCACAAGAAUUGAAAUGACCAACCGUGAUAUAAGCAGACAAGAGGGAAGUCACGAGAACAUGAAUGAAGAUUGUGAAAAUUGAGCAGAAUGAACAGAAUUGAAAUAAAGUACACUCUGUUGAGCUUGGUAACUAUAUA
rnacentral:lncRNA from 13 species